UACGAAGGACCCGAGCGUUAUCCGGAUUUAUUGGGUUUAAAGGGUGCGUAGGCGGAACGGUAAGUCAGUGGUGAAAUCCUGUUGCUUAACAACGGAACUGCCAUUGAUACUGCCGAUCUUGAGUACAUAUGAUGUGGGCGGAAUGUGCCAUGUAGCGGUGAAAUGCUUAGAUAUGGCACAGAACACCGAUUGCGAAGGCAGCUCACAAAACUGUUACUGACGCUGAGGCACGAAAGCGUGGGGAUCAAACAGG
rnacentral:ncRNA from 3 species